rnacentral:rRNA from 1 species
UGGGUAACCUGCCUCAAAGAGGGGAAUAGCCUCCCGAAAGGGAGAUUAAUACCGCAUAAUAUGUUUAAGUCGCAUGACUUUAACAUCAAAGGAUUUUCUUUUAGAAAUUCCACUUUGAGAUGGACCCGCGGCGCAUUAGCUAGUUGGUGAGGUAACGGCUCACCAAGGCAACGAUGCGUAGCCGACCUGAGAGGUGAUCGGCCACAUUGGAACUGAGACACGGUCCAGACUCCGUAGGGAGG